rfam:Anolis carolinensis chromosome 5, whole genome shotgun sequence.
GGAUGUGAGGGCAAUCUGGCUGCGACAUCUGUCACCCCAUUGAUCGCCAGGGUUGAUUCGGCUGAUCUGGCUGGCUAGGCGGGUGUCCCCUCCCUCCCUCACCGCUCCAUGUGCGUCCCUCCCGAAGCUGCGCGCUCGGUGGAAGAGGACGAUGUCCCAGGUAUAGAAGGAGUGUACCGAGGUCUCCAGUCUUCGGUCCCGGGUAUACGAUAGCUGCGCUCCCCUGCUAGAACCUCCAAACAAGCUCAAGGAUAGCUCUUAUAAUUCUCGCAGCUGGUAAGCUGGCUGGGAUUUCUGGGAGCUGAAAUCCAGAACACUUGGAGGAGCAGAAUGAGAAAAACUACAAAUCCUCUAG